rnacentral:miRNA from 1 species
ACCGAGUACUCUGUUCCUAAU